rnacentral:rRNA from 1 species
CCUACGGGAGGCAGCAGUAGGGAAUCUUCCGCAAUGGACGAAAGUCUGACGGAGCAACGCCGCGUGAGCGAUGAAGGCCUUCGGGUCGUAAAGCUCUGUUGUUAGGGAAGAACAAGUACGAGAGUAACUGCUCGUACCUUGACGGUACCUAACCAGAAAGCCCCGGCUAACUACGUGCCAGCAGCCGCGGUAAUACGUAGGGGGCAAGCGUUGUCCGGAAUUAUUGGGCGUAAAGGGCUCGUAGGCGGUUUCUUAAGUCUGAUGUGAAAGCCCACAGCUCAACUGUGGAGGGUCAUUGGAAACUGGGGAACUUGAGUGCAGAAGAGGAGAGUGGAAUUCCACGUGUAGCGGUGAAAUGCGUAGAUAUGUGGAGGAACACCAGUGGCGAAGGCGACUCUCUGGUCUGUAACUGACGCUGAGGAGCGAAAGCGUGGGGAGCA